rnacentral:tRNA from 1 species
GUAGUGGCUCAGUGGUACAGUGCUCGCCUAGCAUGCAUGAGGCACUGGGUUCAAUCCUCAACAGAACG